AAGAAGCGAACCAGGGGAACUGAAACAUCUAAGUACCCUGAGGAAAAGAAAUCAACCGAGAUUCCCUUAGUAGUGGCGAGCGAACGGGGACUAGCCCUUAAGUGGCUUUGAGAUUAGCGGAACGCUCUGGAAAGUGCGGCCAUAGUGGGUGAUAGCCCUGUACGCGAAAAUCUCUUAGUCAUGAAAUCGAGUAGGACGGAGCACGAGAAACUUUGUCUGAAUAUGGGGGGACCAUCCUCC
rnacentral:rRNA from 1 species